CCUACGGGUGGCAGCAGUGGGGAAUAUUGGGCAAUGGGCGCAAGCCUGACCCAGCAACGCCGCGUGAAGGAAGAAGGCUUUCGGGUUGUAAACUUCUUUUAAGGGGGACGAACAAAUGACGGUACCCCUUGAAUAAGCCACGGCUAACUACGUGCCAGCAGCCGGGGUAAUACGUAGGUGGCAAGCGUUAUCCGGAUUUAUUGGGUGUAAAGGGCGUGUAGGCGGGAGCGCAAGUCAGAUGUGAAAACUCAGGGCUCAACGCUGAGCCUGCCUUUGAAACUGUGUUUCUUGAGUGCUGGAGAGGCGAGCGGAAUUCCGUGUGUAGCGGUGAAAUGCGUAGAUAUACGGAGGAACACCAGUGGCGAAGGCGGAUUGCUGGACAGUAACUGACGCUGAGGCGCGAAAGCGUGGGGAGCAAACAGGAUUAGAUACCCGAGUAGUC
rnacentral:rRNA from 1 species